rnacentral:tRNA from 2 species
GGGCGAUUAGCUCAGGUGGCUAGAGCAUCUCGCUUACACCGAGAGGGUCAGAGGUUCGAGUCCUCUAUCGCCCACCC